UUGGCACUGAAGAAUUCACAGAUAUGUUUAAAGUUCGUGGAUUCUCGGGUGCCAGAG
rnacentral:pre_miRNA from 1 species